UGCAGGUUAAGAUCCUCCCUGGUAAGCGACAUUGCUGUGUCGGAUGUCAUUCAAGAGCUGGUCUCUGGGAGUGAUUUCCACCAGCGGGGGUGGCCUAUUUCUCGGCACCGGCUUGAGCGUUUUGAUGACAUCUUUGAGGCGACUUCCUGAGCAGUGAGAGGUCGUCCGGAUGAAGGCUGGAAGAACUCCUGCAUUCUGGGAUCGGGCAUGGGUCCCCCCAACCUCUCCCACAUCCCAGGGGGCAGCCCCAACCCGUUCUCCAGCAUAGCUAUCAGCUUUCUCUGCUCUCUAAGUUGCUGCUGUUGCUGCUCCUCUUGUCUCUUCUGCCUCCGUUUAUCCUGGUUCCUGCAGGGGGAGCCCAAUCAUCCAGCUGUUUAAUGUACACCAGGGAAGAAACAAAGACCCUGGUCCUGCAGCUCUCCUAAAAUGGGUAUUCAGGAGCGAUUGUCUUGGAACCCACGGACCUGCACUUGUAAGAAAGUCUGCAAAUGACACGUCACAAAUCUUCGUCCCCAUUCCCAGUUGAAAGAUGACCUCCAGUGUGAAACCUGAUGAGGAUCUGCUUGUUGAUCUGCAAAACAGAAGUCGUGAUGGUACCUACCUCACCACAAACCACGAGGAUGAAACGGAGCAUGGCAAGCUGAAGCUGACCUCAGGCGGACCUACGGCAGCUCUUACUUUUGUUGUGUUUAUUAGUAAAAUGACUCCCACAUCA